rnacentral:rRNA from 1 species
CAAGUCGAGCGGUAAGGCCUCUUCGGAGGUACACGAGCGGCGGACGGCUGAGUAACACGUAGGAACAUACCCCAAACUGAGGGAUAAGCACCAGAAAUGGUGUCUAAUACCGCAUGUGAUCUAAGGAUUAAAGCUUCGGCGGUUUGGGAAUGGCCUGCGCAUGAUUAGUUUGUUGGUGAGGUAAUGGCUUACCAAGACUACGAUCAUUAGCUGGUCUGAGAGGAUGACCAGCCAGACUGGAACUGAGAACGGUCCAGACUCCUACGGGAGGCAGCAGUAGGGAAUUUUCCACAAUGGGCGAAAGCCUGAUGGAGCAACGCCGCGUGCAGGAUGAAUGUCUUCGGAUUGUAAACUGCUUUUAUCUGUGACGAAUAUGACGGUAGCAGAUGAAUAAGGAUCGGCUAACUCCGUGCCAGCAGCCGCGGUCAUACGGAGGAUCCAAGCGUUAUCCGGAAUUACUGGGCGUAAAGAGUUGCGUAGGUGGCAUUGUAAGUUGGUAGUGAAAGCGUUCGGCUCAACCGGAUAUACAUUAUCAAAACUGCAAAGCUAGAGGGCGAGAGAGGUUACUGGAAUUCCUAGUGUAGGGGUAAAAUCCGUUGAUAUUAGGAAGAACACCGAUGGCGUAGGCAGGUAACUGGCUCGUCCCUGACACUAAGGCACGAAAGCGUGGGGAGCAAACAGGAUUAGAUACCCUGGUAGUCCACGCCGUAAACGAUGGAUGCUAGCUGUAAGAGGUAUCGACCCCUCUUGUAGCGAAGCUAACGCGUUAAGCAUCCCGCCUGUGGAGUACGGUCGCAAGACUAAAACAUAAAGGAAUUGACGGGGACCCGCACAAGCGGUGGAGCGUGUUGUUUAAUUC